rnacentral:rRNA from 1 species
CGCUGCGGCGUGGAUAGGCAUGCAAGUCAAGGGACUCUUUUAGUGCUUGCACUUUUAGAGGACCGGCGAACGGGUUAGUAACACGUGGGUAACAUACCGUUAAGACGGGAAUAAUUCGGGGAAACCCGGGCUAAUACCCGAUAGUCCUUUUUUUGUUUAAUCAAUUAAAGGUAAAGGAACCCUUUGGGAACCGCUUAAUGAUUGGCCCGCGGCCUAUCAGCUAGAAGGUGUGGUAAUGGCACACCUUGGCUAUGACGGGUAGGCGGAGUUAGCGCUCGACCGCCAACAAGGGCACUGAGACACGGGCCUUACUCCUACGGGAGGCAGCAGUCGAGAAUCAUCCACAAUGGGGGAAACCCUGAUGGUGCGACGCCGCGUGUCCGAUGAAGCCUUACGGGGUGUAAAGGACUUUUCUCCGGGAAGAAGUUAUGUCGCUUGCGGCAUAAUUGACGGUACCGGAGGAAUAAGGGGAUGCUAAUUAUGUGCCAGCAGCAGCGGUAAUACAUAAUCCCCAAGCGUUAUCCGGAUUUACUAGGCGUAAAGGGUCCGUAGGCGGUUUGUCAGGUUUCUUGUUAAAUUUUCAGGGCUUAACCUUGAAAGUGCGGGAAAAACCGACAAACUAGAGGACGUCAGAGGCUGACGGAACGGCUGGUGUAGGCGUGGAAACCGUUGAUAUCAACCGGAACACCAAAAGCGAAGGCAGUCAGCUGGGGCGAUCCUGACGCUGAGGGACGAAAGCAUGGGUAGCGAAGAGGAUUAGAUACCCUCGUAGUCCAUGCUGUAAACGAUG